GUAAAACCUAGAAUAUAAGGGCUCCAGAGAGAUUUAGGUCACGUGGUGGUGAAAAGUAACAUUUAGGACUGGGAAGAACCCUGAGCCCAAUCUCUGGGCUGACAUCUCACCCCGAUACAUGAGAAACUCCAUAGAGAGAGGAUCCUAGAGCUCACCAACAAGAUCAUUGAGCUGCUGACUGGAGAGGUUCCUAUAAGGUGUCAGGAUGUCGCUGUCUAUUUCUCCAUGCAGGAGUCUGAGUAUUUAGAAGGACACAAAGGUCUGUACAAGCAUGUCAUGAUGAAGGAUCACCAGCCCCUCAUAUUACCAGUUAAAGAAGAGAGAACAAUACCGGAGAGAUGUCCCAGUCCUCUUCUUCAACAGGCUGAUUUAGAAGUGCA